UACAGAGGUCUCGAGCGUUGUUCGGAUUCAUUGGGCGUAAAGGGUGCGUAGGCGGCGGGGUAAGUCUGAUGUGAAAUCCCGGGGCUCAACCCCGGAACUGCAUUGGAUACUGCUCUGCUUGAGUACUGGAGAGGAGACUGGAAUUUACGGUGUAGCAGUGAAAUGCGUUGAGAUCGGAAGGAACGCCCGUGGCGAAAGCGGCGCGCUGGAUCCCUACUGACGCUGAGGCACGAAAGCCAGGGGAGCAAACGGG
rnacentral:rRNA from 1 species